CUACAGCUCCUGACGUUGAUGCUAUAAUUAAAUACUAUCGAAUUAUUGCGAGAUUGCAGCAUCCUCUCCCAUAACCGCGGUUAUUUUUUUCUCUAACUGAUAACACAUUUACAUUCGUGCUUAUUUAGCUGCAAAUGUCGAAUCAAGAAAUGUGCAAUCAUUUUUGCGAGGAGUCGAGGUAAACCUGCAUGUAUAUUACUAUACGUUUUAACCGUAUAUUUGUAGAACAAGAAACUACUAUUAUUUUCGGCGGGAUAAACCCAGCGAGGUAUAAAACCCCCCAUGUAUUACGUUUUAAUUAUAUACCUAUGUGUAGAACGGAGCGGGGAUUUCCAAUUAUGAAUAACAAUGUCGGCAUCCAAAAAAAUAGGGGCGUUGCCGUCGUCGGUCCUCUUCGACGCAAAUUUUAUGUAAGUAGAGUAAGCGCUUUAAUUGUAAUAAUAAACUUCAAAUCGAUAUUUCAGAUCUAAAUAAAAACGCCCUACAUUUUGUUUUUGUUGUUUUAUUUCCCUACCCGCCCCUGUUCUGGUUGUAGGUUAGAAUGGGGCCCCCUUGUGUAUGUCUCUCAAAUGGGGGAGCUACCUCCGAGAUGGAAUGAUAGGUUAGAAUUCUCCUCCCUUGCAUCUCUCUCCUGAACCCUCGUAUCUAACCGUUUGAUGUCUCAUCAAUGCCGGGGCGCCGGUUGAAAUUAUACUUUCCUAUACCUAUACGAAUCCUAAUAGAUGGCGACUCCGUUCCGUUAAAAUAGGUUAGAAUGAGGGACCUCGCACUUGACGACUGAAAUUACAAUUUCCUACCUCUAUAUGCAUUACGACGCCAAUAGAUGGCGCCUCCGUACCCUUAAAAUAGGUUCGUUAUAAAUACAACUAUCCAAGCAUUAUAUCAUACAAGUCUAGUUAGCCUAGUGGUUAUGCUAUAGGACUUGUAAUCCGAUGGUUGGCGGUUCGAAUCCGUUCCAUUUAAAAAAAAAUUUCAGGAGGUUCGAUAUAAAUACAACUAUCCAAACAUUAUACCAUAAUAGUCUAAUUAGCUCAGUGGUUAUGCUAUAGGACUUGUAAUCCAAUGGUUGGCGGUUCGAAUCCGUUCCAUUUAAAAAAAAAA